GUGCUUGCUUCAGCCACACAUAAACUAAAAUUGAAACGAUACAGAGAAGAUUAGCAUAGCCCCUGCACAAGGAUGGCACACAAAUUCGUGAAGCGUUGCAUAUUUUU
ensembl:snRNA U6 U6 spliceosomal RNA